rnacentral:rRNA from 1 species
GACGAACGCUGGCGGCGUGCUUAACACAUGCAAGUCGAACGGUGAACUCCGCUUGCGUGGGGCUCAGUGGCGGACGGUUGCGUAACACGUGGGCAACCUGCCCUCAGCUCUUUGAUAACUCCAAGAAAUUAGGGCUAAUAUCGGUAAUGACCGCUGCCCGCUACGGCUGGUGGCGGAAAGAUUUAUCGGCUGGGGAUUGUCCCUCGGCCUAUCUGCUUGUUGGUGGUGGAGUGGCCUACCAAGGCGAAGACCGGUAGCCGGCCUGUGAGGGUGACCGGGCACACUGGGACUGAGACACGGCCCAGACUCCUACGGGAGGCAGCAGGGGGGAAUAUUGCGCAAUGGGCGAACGUCUGACGAAGCGACGCCGCGGGGGGGAUGACGGCCUUCGGGUUGUAAACCGCUGUCAGCAGGGACGAAGCGAAAGUGACGGUACCUGCAGAAGAAGCACCGGCUAACUACGUG